AGAGUUUGAUCCUGGCUCAGGAUGAACGCUGGCGGCGUGCCUAACACAUGCAAGUCGAGCGAUUCUCUUCGGAGAAGAGCGGCGGACGGGUGAGUAACGCGUGGGUAACCUGCCUCAUACACAUGGAUAACAUACCGAAAGGUAUGCUAAUACAGGAUAACAUAAGAGAUUCGCAUGUUUCUCUUAUCAAAGCUCCGGCGGUAUGAGAUGGACCCGCGUCUGAUUAGCUAGUUGGUAAGGUAAUGGCUUACCAAGGCAACGAUCAGUAGCCGACCUGAGAGGGUGAUCGGCCACAUUGGAACUGAGACACGGUCCAAACUCCUACGGGAGGCAGCAGUGGGGAAUAUUGCACAAUGGGCGAAAGCCUGAUGCAGCAACGCCGCGUGAGUGAUGAAGGCCUUCGGGUCGUAAAACUCUGUCCUCAAGGAAGAUAAUGACGGUACUUGAGGAGGAAGCCCCGGCUAACUACGUGCCAGCAGCCGCGGUAAUACGUAGGGGGCUAGCGUUAUCCGGAUUUACUGGGCGUAAAGGGUGCGUAGGUGGUUUCUUAAGUCAGGAGUGAAAGGCUACGGCUUAACCGUAGUAAGCUCUUGAAACUGGGAAACUUGAGUGCAGGAGAGGAAAGUGGAAUUCCUAGUGUAGCGGUGAAAUGCGUAGAUAUUAGGAGGAACACCAGUAGCGAAGGCGGCUUUCUGGACUGUAACUGACACUGAGGCACGAAAGCGUGGGGAGCAAACAGGAUUAGAUACCCUGGUAGUCCACGCCGUAAACG
rnacentral:rRNA from 1 species